rnacentral:rRNA from 1 species
CAACAGGGAUUGCCCUAGUAACGGCGAGUGAAGCGGCAACAGCUCAAAUUUGAAAUCUGGCUCUUUCAGAGUCCGAGUUGUAAUUUGCAGAGGGCGCUUUGGCUUUGGCAGCGGUCCAAGUUCCUUGGAACAGGACGUCACAGAGGGUGAGAAUCCCGUACGUGGUCGCUAGCUAUUGCCGUGUAAAGCCCCUUCGACGAGUCGAGUUGUUUGGGAAUGCAGCUCUAAAUGGGAGGUAAAUUUCUUCUAAAGCUAAAUAUUGGCCAGAGACCGAUAGCGCACAAGUAGAGUGAUCGAAAGAUGAAAAGCACUUUGGAAAGAGAGUCAAACAGCACGUGAAAUUGUUGAAAGGGAAGCGCUUGCAGCCAGACUUGCUUGCAGUUGCUCAUCCGGGCUUUUGCCCGGUGCACUCUUCUGCAAGCAGGCCAGCAUCAGUUUGGGCGGUGGGAUAAAGGUCUCUGUCAUGUACCUCUCUUCGGGGAGGCCUUAUAGGGGAGGCGACAUACCACCAGCCUAGACUGAGGUCCGCGCAUCUGCUAGGAUGCUGGCGUAAUGGCUGUAAGCGGCCCGUCUUGAAACACGGACCAAGGAGUCUAACAUCUAUGCGAGUGUUUGGGUGUCAAGCCCGAGCGCGUAAUGAAAGUGAACGGAGGUGGGAACCCGCAAGGGUGCACCAUCGACCGAUCCUGAAGUUUACGGAAGGAUUUGAGUAAGAGCAUGGCUGUUGGGACCCGAAAGAUGGUGAACUAUGCUUGAAUAGGGUGAAGCCAGAGGAAACUCUGGUGGAGGCUCGCAGCGGUUCUGACGUGCAAAUCGAUCGUCAAAUUUGGGCAUAGGGGCGAAAGACUAAUCGAACU